rnacentral:tRNA from 1 species
GCCGAAGUGGCGGAAUGGCAGACGCGCUGCGUUCAGGGCGCAGUGUCCGUAAGGAUAUGAGGGUUCAAAUCCCUCCUUCGGCACCA